UACGGAAGGUCCGGGCGUUAUCCGGAUUUAUUGGGUUUAAAGGGAGCGUAGGCCGGUCUUUAAGCGUGCCGUGAAAUUUUGUGGCUCAACCAUGAGAGUGCGGCGCGAACUGGAGACCUUGAGUGCGCGGAAGGCAGGCGGAAUUCGUGGUGUAGCGGUGAAAUGCGUAGAUAUCAGGAGGAACACCGGCGGCGAAGGCGGCCUGCUGGACCGCGACUGACGUUGAGGCUCGAAAGCGUGGGGAGCGAACAGG
rnacentral:rRNA from 1 species